rnacentral:rRNA from 1 species
UACGUAGGUGGCAAGCGUUGUCCGGAAUUAUUGGGCGUAAAGCGCGCGCAGGCGGUCUCUUAAGUCUGAUGUGAAAUCCCGUGGCUUAACCACGGGCGGUCAUUGGAAACUGGGGGACUUGAGUGCAGAAGAGAAGAGCGGAAUUCCACGUGUAGCGGUGAAAUGCGUAGAUAUCGUUUGGAACGCCGAUGGUGAAAACAGGUCGCUGGGGUUGUGCUGACGCUGAGACACGAAAGCCAGGGGAGCGAACGGG